rnacentral:rRNA from 1 species
GAUGAACGCUGGCGGCGUGCCUAAUACAUGCGAGUCGAGCGAACGGACGAGAAGCUUGCUUCUCUGAUGUUAGCGGCGGACGGGUGAGUAACACGUGGAUAACCUACCUAUAAGACUGGGAUAACUUCGGGAAACCGGAGCUAAUACCGGAUGAUAUUUUGAACCGCAUGGUUCAAAAGUGAAAGACGGUCUUGCUGUCACUUAUAGAUGGAUCCGCGCUGCAUUAGCUAGUUGGUAAGGUAACGGCUUACCAAGGCAACGAUGCAUAGCCGACCUGAGAGGGUGAUCGGCCACACUGGAACUGAGACACGGUCCAGACCCCUACGGGAGGCAGCAGUAGGGAAUCUUCCGCAAUGGGCGAAAGCCUGACGGAGCAACGCCGCGUGAGUGAUGAAGGUCUUCGGAUCGUAAAACUCUGUUAUUAGGGAAGAACAUAUGUGUAAGUAACUGUGCACAUCUUGACGGUACCUAAUCAGAAAGCCACGGCUAACUACGUG